CCAUUUGAAGUGAGGAUUAGAUGGAACUGAACCAUCUCAUGAAAGACAAGGAGCAAGGUUCAGUUUCCUCUAAUAUCUCAUCUCGAAUGG
rnacentral:pre_miRNA from 1 species